rnacentral:lncRNA from 1 species
AUGUUGUCUCUGCCAAGGAGCCGAGAGAGACGCUACUCCCCGACGAGACGCUCACCUUCAAGAUAUACUCCUCCCAGCCGUUCUCCAUCGUGGUCCUCCCCAUCGCCCCCUAGAGGCCAUGACCGGAGGGAACGCCGGCGCUCUCUGUCCCGUAGUCGAGAAAGGAGAUCCCCGUCGGAUAAAAGAUCGGCCGAUAAGUCCACCACACGGAGGAGGAAGCACAGCGAGCUGGAGCAGGCCACCAAGAAGGUGUUGGAGAAGUCGUCAGUACUGACCGCUCUCUCAGGUUCCACGGACCUGGACUCUUUGGUGGAGACGAUGAUGCCGCUGUUAAUGUCGCGUUUGGCCAAAGAAAUGGGCACCUCCUCAGCGCCCUCUACAGUCGCCAAGAAGAAGGUGGUGAAAAAAACAAUCUCUAAACCCACUGUUGUGAAAUCGUCGACGAUGGUGAGACUGGGCUCCAUCAUCCCUCCUCUGUCUCACGAUGACGUGGCUGCGUUUGCAAAACAAUUUGGGAAAACUAAAUCGAUUUUGCUGUUUCGACAAAAAUGCCAGGCUGUGGUGUGUUUUGAAAAAGUAGAAGACGCCAAAAAACUGAGACACUCAACCGACCUUCUAAUUAAAGAGCAUCCGGUCACAAUCGUCAAGUAUAAGGCAAGACACAGCCACUUUAUCAUCUAAUUACACUGACAAUACAUGGACUUUUG